GUUUCUAUAAUAGCUUUCAAACUAUCCCCUAGACACUACUGCAGGAUGAGAGCUGAGAGAUGCCGCCUUUCAAUGGUGCUGAGCUAAGCAGUUAAUACUGGAUCACUUGAGAGUGAUCACCAAAUGGGACUUGACUGGUGUACAAGGAAGCUACUGUUUAAAAGGGAAGUGCAAAUGAAUCUCACUUGUAAGGUGAUAGAUGGAGAAGAAAGCAGAGAAGGUGAAUAAGUAAUAAACAGGAGGAGCACAGGCAUGAGAAUAAGAAUUGGGGGGAAAAA